GGGCGGACCUGAUCGCCAUGCCGCGUGUGUGAAGAAGGCCUUAUGGUUGUAAAGCACUUUAUGCGAGGAGGAGGCUACUUUAGAUAAUACCUACAGAUAGUGGACGUUACUCGCAGAAUAAGCACCGGCUAACUCUGUGCCAGCACGCCGCGGUAUAUA
rnacentral:rRNA from 1 species